rnacentral:rRNA from 1 species
AGAGUUUGAUCCUGGCUCAGGAUGAACGCUAGCGGCAGGCUUAACACAUGCAAGUCGAGGGGCAGCGAGGUUGUAGCAAUACGACUGUCGGCGACCGGCGCACGGGUGCGUAACGCGUAUGCAACCUACCCGUAACAGGGGGAUAACACUGAGAAAUUGGUACUAAUACCCCAUAACAUCAUGAAAGGCAUCUUUCGUGGUUGAAAACUCUGGUGGUUACGGAUGGGCAUGCGUUGUAUUAGCUGGUUGGUGAGGUAACGGCUCACCAAGGCGACGAUACAUAGGGGGACUGAGAGGUUAACCCCCCACAUUGGUACUGAGACACGGACCAAACUCCUACGGGAGGCAGCAGUGAGGAAUAUUGGUCAAUGGACGAAAGUCUGAACCAGCCAUGCCGCGUGCAGGAUGACGGCUCUAUGAGUUGUAAACUGCUUUUGUAUUAGGGUAAACACCCCUACGUGUAGGGGCUUGAAAGUAUAAUACGAAUAAGGAUCGGCUAACUCCGUGCCAGCAGCCGCGGUAAUACGGAGGAUCCAAGCGUUAUCCGGAUUUAUUGGGUUUAAAGGGUGCGUAGGCGGUUUGAUAAGUUAGAGGUGAAAUACCGGUGCUCAACACCGGAACUGCCUCUAAUACUGUUGAACUAGAGAGUAGUUGCGGUAGGCGGAAUGUAUGGUGUAGCGGUGAAAUGCUUAGAGAUCAUACAGAACACCGAUUGCGAAGGCAGCUUACCAAACUAUAUCUGACGUUGAGGCACGAAAGCGUGGGUAGCAAACAGGAUUAGAUACCCUGGUAGUCCACGCAGUAAACGAUGAUAACUCGUUGUCGGCGAUACACAGUCGGUGACUAAGCGAAAGCGAUAAGUUAUCCACCUGGGGAGUACGUUCGCAAGAAUGAAACUCAAAGGAAUUGACGGGGGCCCGCACAAGCGGAGGAACAUGUGGUUUAAUUCGAUGAUACGCGAGGAACCUUACCCGGGCUUGAAAGUUACUGACGAUUCUGGAAACAGGAUUUCCCUUCGGGGCAGGAAACUAGGUGCUGCAUGGUUGUCGUCAGCUCGUGCCGUGAGGUGUCGGGUUAAGUCCCAUAACGAGCGCAACCCCUACCGUUAGUUGCCAUCAGGUGAAGCUGGGCACUCUGGCGGGACUGCCGGUGUAAGCCGAGAGGAAGGUGGGGAUGACGUCAAAUCAGCACGGCCCUUACGUCCGGGGCUACACACGUGUUACAAUGGUAGGUACAGAGGGCAGCUACCCAGUGAUGGGAUGCGAAUCUCGAAAGCCUAUCUCAGUUCGGAUUGGAGGCUGAAACCCGCCUCCAUGAAGUUGGAUUCGCUAGUAAUCGCGCAUCAGCCAUGGCGCGGUGAAUACGUUCCCGGGCCUUGUACACACCGCCCGUCAAGCCAUGGGAGCUGGGGGUGCCUGAAGUUCGUGACCGCAAGGAGCGACCUAGGGCAAAACCGGUGACUGGGGCUAAGUCGUAACAAGGUAGCCGUACCGGAAGGUGCGGCUG